rnacentral:rRNA from 1 species
UACGUAGGUGGCAAGCGUUGUCCGGAAUUAUUGGGCGUAAAGCGCGCGCAGGCGGUCCUUUAAGUCUGAUGUGAAAGCCCACGGCUCAACCGUGGAGGGUCAUUGGAAACUGGGGGACUUGAGUGCAGGAGAGGUGAGUGGAACUGCGAGUGUAGAGGUGAAAUUCGUAGAUAUUCGCAAGAACACCAGUGGCGAAGGCGCUCUGCUAGGCCGCAACUGACACUGAGGGACGAAAGCUAGGGGAGCGAAUGGG